UGGGGAAUUUUGGACAAUGGGGGGAAAACCCCUGAUCCCAGCCAUCCCGCGUGUGCGAUGAAGGCCUUCGGGUUGUAAAGCACUUUUGGCAGGAAAGAAACGUCGCGGGUUAAUACCCCCGCGAACUNACGGUACCUGCAGAAUAAGCACCGGCUAACUACGUGCCAGCAGCCGCGGUAAUACGUAGGGUGCAAGCGUUAAUCGGAAUUACUGGGCGUAAAGCGUGCGCAGGCGGUUCGGAAAAGAAAGAUGUGAAAUCCCCNAAGCUUAACUUUGGAACUGCAUUUUUAACUACCGGGCUAGAGUGUGUCAGAGGGAGUGGAAUUCCGCGUGUAGCAGUGAAAUGCGUAGAUAUGCGGAGGAACACCGAUGGCGAAAGGCAGCCUCCUGGGAUAACACUGAGCUCAUGCACGAAAGCGUGGGGAGCAAACAGGAUUA
rnacentral:rRNA from 1 species